GAUGAACGCUAGCGAUAGGCUUAACACAUGCAAGUCGAGGGGCAGCACGGAGCAAGCUUGCUUGGGUGGCGACCGGCGCACGGGUGCGUAACGCGUAUGCAACCUACCCACAAGAGGGGGAUAGCCCCUCGAAAGAGGGAUUAAUACCACAUAGUAAGCAUUUCCCGCAUGAGAGAUGCUUUAAACAAAUUGGCUUAUGGAUGGGCAUGCGUUCCAUUAGGUAGUUGGUGAGGUAACGGCUCACCAAGCCCGCGAUGGAGAGGGGUUCUGAGAGGAAGGUCCCCCACACUGGAACUGAGACACGGUCCAGACUCCUACGGGAGGCAGCAGUGAGGAAUAUUGGUCAAUGGUCGGAAGACUGAACCAGCCAAGUAGCGUGAGGGAUGACUGCCCUAUGGGUUGUAAACCUCUUUUAUAUGGGAAUAAAAAAGAUUACGUGUAGUCUAUUGUAUGUACCUUAUGAAUAAGCAUCGGCUAAUUCCGUGCCAGCAGCCGCCGUAACAC
rnacentral:rRNA from 1 species